rnacentral:tRNA from 2 species
GGUGGGGUGGCCGAGCGGUUCAAGGCGUACGAUUGGAAAUCGUAUGUGCGAAAGCACGCGCAGGUUCGAAUCCUGUCCCCACCGCCG